rnacentral:rRNA from 1 species
GAUGAACGCUAGCUACAGGCUUAACACAUGCAAGUCGAGGGACCGGCGCACGGGUGAGUAACACGUAUCCAACCUGCCCUUUACUAGGGGAUAGCCUUUCGAAAGAAAGAUUAAUACCCGAUAUAAAGGAUGGGGAUGCGUUGCAUUAGGUUGUUGGUGAGGUAACGGUCCAUCAAGCCUACGAUGGAUAGGGGUUCUGAGAGGAAGGUCCCCCACAUUGGAACUGAGACACGGUCCAAACUCCUACCUGAGACAGCGGUGAGCAAUACUGGUCAAUGAGCGCUAGCCUGAACCAGCCAAGUACCGUGAAGGAUGAAGGCUUGUGGAUCGUAAACUGCUAUUAUAUAAGAAUAUGUAUUAUAUGAAUAAGGAUCGGAUAACGCCGUGCCAGCCGCCGCGGUAAUAC